UACGUAGGGGUCGAGCGUUGUCCGGACUUACUGGGCGUAAAGCGUGGGUAGGUGGUCGGUGAUGUGCCGUGUGAAAGCGCCGCGCUUCUCGCGGCGAGGUCGCGGUAGACACACCGACUGGAGGCACGGAGGGGGGCGUAGAAUUCCCGGUGUAGUGGUGAAAUGCGUAGAUAUCGUUUGGAACGCCAAUGGUGAAAACAGACAGCUGGGAGUGUGCUGACGCUGAGACACGAAAGCCAGGGGAG
rnacentral:rRNA from 1 species